rnacentral:lncRNA from 1 species
UGUUUGAGCGUGGAAGAGAAGAAGUGGAUGCGCCAAACGUUUGUAGGUUUACAUGUUUUCUUGAGCGAUAUGGCCUUGAAAUGUUUUGGAAAUGACGGUGACGGUUCAUCUUCUAGUCAAGAGAGUCGUGGUCGUGAUGGCGAAACCUAUGCAUGAAAAAACUUGAUUUGCUGUUUUUAUUUUAUUUGAAUUGCUGUUUUUAUUUGUCCUUGUAUUGGUAGACUAUUAGUGAUAGCAUUGGUGAUGAUGAAACUAUUCAUCAACGUCUCUCUAUUUCUAUAGUCAAUCGUAUUCAUUACGAACCAAAUAUCAUAUAUAAUAAUCUAAUUAUUAAGAAUAAAUCAACAUUGUUUUCUUAUAAUGGGUCUCUUGCAUAGAUUACACACCCUAAAGGCCUAAACUGAUGAACAAAAACAUUUAUUGUUUUCAGGAUUCUUGUCAAUCGAUUAAAAGAAUUAUCAAAAGAUGGAGAUACCAACCUGAGAUUUGUUGUCAUAUAUGUAAGUUUUGAAGGCCUCAUCAACAAAUGUUGCUUUCAGAUCUUCGGUUUCGCAGACAGAUUUUUGGUUGAGACAAAAGUAGAUUGAGAAAUUAACAAUUCAAAGGUCUAAAUUGAAUUAAGAAUAUUUAGAAUUGAAAGAAUCUAAUUGACAGAAAGACUUCUCAGAGUAUCGACUCGUCAGAUCAAAAUUUGGUCUGGCUAAAAUGAGCGGUUGACAAAAAAAGAAGAGAAAACCUUAUCCCUUUUCCUUUUCC